UACGUAGGGUGCAAGCGUUGUCCGGAAUUAUUGGGCGUAAAGAGCUCGUAGGCGGCUUGUCACGUCGACUGUGAAAACCCGGGGCUCAACUCCGGGCCUGCAGUCGAUACGGGCUGGCUUGAGUGCGGUAGGGGAGACUGGAAUUCCUGGUGUAGCGGUGAAAUGCGCAGAUAUCAGGAGGAACACCGGUGGCGAAGGCGACAUCCUGGACCGGUAUUGACGCUGAGGCGCGAAAGCCAGGGGAGCAAACGGG
rnacentral:rRNA from 1 species